UACAGAGGGGGCAAGCGUUGUUCGGAAUUACUGGGCGUAAAGGGCGCGUAGGCGGCCCGCUAAGUCGAACGUGAAAUCCCUGGGCUCAACCCAGGAACUGCGUCCGAUACUGGCAGGCUUGAAUCCGGGAGAGGGAUGUGGAAUUCCAGGUGUAGCGGUGAAAUGCGUAGAUAUCGGAAGGAACACCGGUGGCGAAAGCGGCGCGCUGGACCUCUUCUGACGCUGAGGCGCGAAAGCCAGGGGAGCAAACGGG
rnacentral:rRNA from 1 species